rnacentral:rRNA from 1 species
UACAGAGGGGGCAAGCGUUGUUCGGAAUUACUGGGCGUAAAGGGCUCGUAGGCGGCCAACUAAGUCGGAUGUGAAAUCCCCAAGCUUAACUUGGGAACUGCAUCCGAUACUGGAUGGCUUGAAUCCGGGAGAGGGAUGCAGAAUUCCAGGUGUAGCGGUGAAAUGCGUAGAUAUCUAGAGGAACACCGGUGGCGAAGGCGGCAUCCUGGACCGGUAUUGACACUGAGGCGCGAAAGCCAGGGGAGCAAACGGG